CGCUGCCGUCGAGGCGAGGUCGAAGCGGCCGUCGAGGCGGCUGCUCUUCCCUCCCCUCCCUUCCCCUCUCCAUCAGCAGCCCAAGGGUGUGGCUCCCCUUACCAAACCACGCUGGAGGAGGAGACGCGCAAGCGGGAGGACGCGGAGCACAACCUCGUGCUCUUCCGCAAGGAUGUGGACGAUGCCACUCUGUCCCGCCUGGAACUAGAACGCAAGAUUGAGUCUCUGAUGGAUGAGAUUGAGUUCCUCAAGAAGCUGCACGAGGAGGUAAGUGGGCCCGGUAUCAGGGGCGGCUUCUGAGGUUGUGGGGUGGUCUCGCUGGAGCUGGCGGGUGGAGCUGAGGCAUCGCCCUGGGGAUCAGGACGAUGCUUGGUAGACGCAGCCCCUCCACCCCAUUCUACAGGUGGUUAGACUCCCACCCUUGCGCCACCUGGCGGCGGGCAGCGGGGCUGUACCUCCGAAACCUGGCCUCUGGUCUCGCGCCCGCCGGGGCGCAGGGCUGUACGCCCCGCCCUCCCUGGCGCCCCCUUCUGUUCGUUCAAGCGUUUCUUCUCUUUUCUGUGCACGAACUGCGUGGCCCGCGUGGGAUUUGCGCCGCUGUCCAUCCUCUGUCUGCUCCCGGCCGUAGGA
rnacentral:sRNA from 1 species